UCUUAGUGGCGCAGCUAACGCACUAAGUUGACCGCCUGGGGAGUACGGCCGCAAGGUUAAAACUCAAAUGAAUUGACGGGGACCCGCACAAGCGGUGGAGCAUGUGGUUUAAUUCGACGCAACGCGAAGAACCUUACCUGGCCUUGACAUCCAGAGAACUUUCCAGAGAUGGAUUGGUGCCUUCGGGAACUCUGUGACAGGUGCUGCAUGGCCGUCGUCAGCUCGUGUCGUGAGAUGUUGGGUUAAGUCCCGUAACGAGCGCAACCCCUAUCCCUGGUUGCUAGCAGGUAAUGCUGAGAACUCCAGGGAGACUGCCGGUGACAAACCGGAGGAAGGUGGGGAUGACGUCAGGUCAUCAUGGCCCUUACGGCCAGGGCUACACACGUGCUACAAUGGCGCGUACAGAGGGCUGCGAACUCGCGAGAGUAAGCCAAUCCCUUAAAACGCGUCGUAGUCCGGAUCGGAGUCUGCAACUCGACUCCGUGAAGUCGGAAUCGCUAGUAAUCGCGAAUCAGAAUGUCGCGGUGAAUACGUUCCCGGGCCUUGUACACACCGCCCGUCACACCAUGGGAGUGGAUUGCACCAGAAGUGGUUAGUCUAACCUUCGGGAGGACGAUCACCACGGUGUGGUUCAUGACUGGGGUG
rnacentral:rRNA from 1 species